CCCCAUGAUGAUGAAGAGAUUGUCUCCUGUAUCCUUGCUGGCCUUGACAUCGAAUACAAUCCUCUGGUGUCGGUCAUAGCAGCACGGGCAGAACCAAUCUCCCGGAGCAAGUUUAAUGAUCAACGACUCAGUUUUGAGA